GCCAGGCAUGGUGGCACAUGCCUGUAUUGCCAGCUGCUUGGGAGGCUGAGGCAGGAGGAUCACUUGAGCAUAGGAGUUCUGGGCUGUAGUGCGCCAUGCUGAUUGGGUAUCGCAUUAAGCUCAACAUCGAUAUAGUGACCUCUUGGGAGCGAGGGACCACCAUGUUGCCUAAGGAGGGAUGAACCAGCCUAAGUUGGAAAGGGAGCAGGUCAAAACUCCUGUGUUGAUCAGUAGUGGGAUUAUGCCUAUGGAUAGCCACUGCACUGUCUUGCCUGGGGAAUAUAGCAAGAUCUUGUCUGUA
ensembl:misc_RNA Metazoa_SRP Metazoan signal recognition particle RNA